rnacentral:ncRNA from 1 species
CCGCAUGCUGACGUUGAUGGUGCCCGGCCGCGUGCGGCUGGCUGAAAAGGGAACAUGGUGCGGGCUUGCCCCAAAUCCAUGACUGCCCCCGCAACUGUAAGCGGAUAGCACCCCCGACAGGACCACUGGCCACAGGCCGGGAAGGGUUGGGGACGCGAUGACCCGCAAGUCAGGAGACCUGCCAUCAACCCGUGCGCGCAU